GCACCGUUAGUCUAAUGGUUAUGAUAUCUGCCUUCCAAGCAGAUGAUCCGAGUUCGAUUCUCGGACGGUGCA
rfam:Perkinsus marinus ATCC 50983 gcontig_1104296590042, whole genome shotgun sequence.